GCUUCAUGAAGUGGACCUCUCGUUGGUGUUGCCGGGUCUUGGAGCCCUUCCGGGGCCGCCCCUUGCGGGUGAAGGCCAUGUACCAGCCUUCAUACUUGGCGUUCUGAAGAGCCGUAUAGUUGUUCUCCAGCACGAUCUCGAUGUACAGGCCUGUCUCAGCCCCUCUGACUCGGACUCGGCUUCCAAAGGUGUCGGUCUCCACUAUGAGCUUGGCUGCCAGAGAGAAGAGUUUGGCCAUCAGAGGAACCCUGGCAAUUUUACCCUUCUUACCCAUGGGCAGCUCCACUCUACCCUGUCCAAGGGCAAUGCCCAAGCCCAGGGAGAACCAGAAUACUGUUUGAAAAAAAAAAUACAUGAACCCUUGCCUUCCUGGAUUCCAAACUAGAACAGCAGCCAUGCCCCUCCUUUUGCCCUGUGAAGCUACACAAGCCUCAAGGCUGAUGCUCAAUACCCUCUGAAAAUUCAGGUGCCAUAAAUGAUUUUCUCUCAUGACAGAUUUAUCCCAGGAAAAUGAUGUCUCCUACAUGAGCUUUGAACCAGUCAGCUAUGUAGAGGAAGAAAAAAAUGCAGCGAGACAUACUGGAUCCCCAAACUAGCCUGAGAAGAGGAGAAAGUAUUCAGGAAACAUUCAAAAAGGCAAAAGUCAGGAGGGUUUUAAUCGCUCUGCCAGACGAGGGCUCUCUCCAGAGAUUCCCGGAGAACAAUCUCGAGCCUUUUUUUUUUUUUACAUUUACAGACUUGCAACUACUUUACACUUUACAUCUGAAAAACGGCUUGUCCUUUUUCUGUUUUCUAUCAGUCCUCAUUUUUCUUCUUCGCCCUUAAAAUGCUCUACCUUUUUAUUACAUUUUAAUAGUCUU